UACGUAGGGUGCAAGCGUUAAUCGGAAUUACUGGGCGUAAAGCGUGCGCAGGCGGUUUUGUAAGUCUGUCGUGAAAUCCCCGGGCUCAACCUGGGAAUUGCGAUGGAGACUGCAAGGCUUGAAUCUGGCAGAGGGGGGUAGAAUUCCAAGUGUAGCAGUGAAAUGCGUAGAGAUGUGGAGGAACACCGAUGGCGAAGGCAGCCCCCUGGGUCAAGAUUGACGCUCAUGCACGAAAGCGUGGGGAGCAAACAGG
rnacentral:rRNA from 1 species